GACCAGACUCCUACGGGAGGCAGCAGUGGGGGAUAUUGCACAAUGGGGGAAACCCUGAUGCAGCGACGCCGCGUGGGUGAAGAAGCGCCUCGGCGCGUAAAGCCCUGUCAGCAGGGAAGAAAAUGACGGUACCUGAAGAAGAAGCCCCGGCUAACUACGUGCUAGCAGCCGCGGUAAUACGUAGGGGGCAAGCGUUAUCCGGAUUUACUGGGUGUAAAGGGGGCGCAGACGGCGAUGCAAGCCUGGAGUGAAAGCCCGGGGCCCAACCCCGGGACUGCUCUGGGAACUGUGCGGCUGGAGUGCGGGAGGGGCAGGCGGAAUUCCUGGUGUAGCGGUGAAAUGCGUAGAUAUCAGGAGGAACACCGGCGGUGAAGGCGGCCUGCUGGACCGCGACUGACGUUGAGGCUCGAAGGCGUGGGGAGCAAACAGGAUUAGAUACCCCCGUAAA
rnacentral:rRNA from 1 species